rnacentral:rRNA from 1 species
AAAGGAAUAGACGGGGGCCCGCACAAGCAGUGGAGUAUGUGGUUUAAUUCGAAGCAACGCGAAGAACCUUACCAGGGCUUGACAUCCCUCGAAUUGCAUGGAAACAUGCAAGUCCUUCGGGACGAGGAGACAGGUGGUGCAUGGUUGUCGUCAGCUCGUGUCGUGAGAUGUUGGGUUAAGUCCCGCAACGAGCGCAACCCUUGUUGUUAGUUGCCAUCAAGUAAAGUUGGGCACUCUAACGAGACUGCCGGUGAUAAAUCGGAGGAAGGUGGGGAUGACGUCAAAUCAUCAUGCCCUUUAUGUCCUGGGCUACACACGUACUACAAUGGCUGCUACAGAGGGCAGCGAAGCCGCAAGGCGAAGCGAAUCCCAAAAAAGCGGUCUCAGUUCGGAUUGUGGGCUGCAACCCGCCCGCAUGAAGCCGGAAUUGCUAGUAAUGGCAGGUCAGCAUACUGCCGUGAAUACGUUCCCGGGCCUUGUACACACCGCCCGU